rnacentral:SRP_RNA from 1 species
UCUGGGUGCGGUGGUGCAUGCCUUUAGUCCCAGCUACCGAGGAGGCUGAGGUGGGAGGAUUGCUUGAGCCCAGAAGUACUGGACUGUAGUGCACUAUGCCGAUCAGGUGUCUGCACUAAGUUCAGCAACAAUAUGAUGACCUCCUGGGAGCGGGGGACCAUCAGGUUGUCUAAAGAGGGGUGAACCGGCCCAGGUCGGAAUCGGAGAAGGUCAAAACUUCCGUGCUGAUCAGUAGCGGGAUCGUGCCUGUGAAUAGCCACUGUGCUCCAGCCUGAGCAACAUAGCGAGACCCCGUCUCU